rnacentral:lncRNA from 1 species
UUUUAGUUAAAAACAUAAUAUAUUUUUCUCGUAUUUUGCUGGGGUUUUUUUUCAACUUGGAAGGAAUUAAAGUGCCGUUUUGUUCCACUUGCUGAUGCAACAAUUUACUUUACUUUACAUAAAAGGACGAGUAAUUCGUUUCACAGGUAAGAUUCAUGGGAUGGAUAGUACGAAAUUUUUUUAAUUUCAAUAUUGGACAUUAAAGUCAUAAAAAACCUUGUAAAAUUUGUGGUCAUAAGACUUACUGUUUUGUUUUAGCCCUGGGGAUGUGUCUUACACAGAUUUUUCCGGUGAAAAUAAUUUCUUAGUUAAUUUAAUACACUUAAUAUAGACCAGGAUUAAGCACAAGGCCAGAGAGGGGAGCAACGAGGGCAAAAUAGCCAGGGCCACUACACUGGAUUCACUUGUUAUAUGACAUCAACAUAUAGUCGUGUACUGUUAACAAGUCAACUGUUAAUGGUCCGCAUACAAUAAAUUGACUUGUCCAAUUUUGUCAUAUAAACAAAACUCCUGAAUUUAAUAGUCCUGAAACUGUUAAAUUUGAUGUUGUGAGCAGUGGCAUAGCCAGACUGAAACAGAAGUGGGGAAACAAUCAAUUGUGUCAUCAAGAAAUUGGUGGGUGGGUCAGUGAGGGAGCUGCCAAAGGCAUGAGCCUGUUAGCGGGUCUGGGGGCAUGCUUAUACCCAGAAGAUUUUAAAUCUAAGGCCUCUCAGCCCUGAAAUGCAAUCAAAUUCACUAGCUCAGUAAGGGACCAGUCAUUAUUAAUGCCGGGUAGGGGGCCGGAGGAAAUUUAGAGGGGCCACAAAAAGUUUUGACCAUUGAAGUGGGGGGGGGCAGAAAAUAUUUUGAACAUAAAGGGGGGGGGGCAAAAAAUAAAAUCUAUGGAAUAGUUUGUAACAUGUAAUAUCAAAAGAGUAAUGGAUAUAUACAGUAUACUGUACAUACUUACAUACAUUGAACAGUAAUGCCCAAUAUAUUGAACCUAAAGUUGUGUUCUAACUACUGUAUAUGGAAAUUGUCAUUCUCAUCAUCACUGUAGAAUUUGUCUGAAGGGUCAUGCACUGUAUUUGCAACUAUGCAAGAUUCAAUUGACAGUUGUUGUCCUGUUUUACGCUUUUUAACACAGCGGACCUCUUUGGCAUGUUCUGUUUCUGCAUGUUGUUGACAGUCUCUUCUGCCAUCUCUUCAAUAUAAUGCUUCCACCAGACACAAAUGUUUUUUUAUCAAUUAGUAAAAGACUAGGCCUGAUGUGUGUUUUUUUUGUUUGAGGGCCAACAACUUUUCAGGUAUAAAGUCUGAAUUGUCUAUUGUGUCUAUUGUGAAACUAAAGUCACUCCUGUCCACCUUGGCUAUCAUUUUCAAUAUUUACAAUAUUCUUUACAGCUGCAAGUAAACUGCAUGAGUAUGAGGGCAGGAAAAAUGCUUACGAAACUGACUUAGAUUCAUUGAAUUCAGAAUUGGGGGGAGGGGGGCUAUGAAAUAUGGUGCCUCAAUGGGGGGGGGAUAAAUUUUGAUUUUGUUAGAAAAAUAAGGGGUCAUGAGAAAUUUUUGCUAUUCAUAAAAAUUUCCUCCAGCCCCCUACCCGGCAUUAAUAAUGACUUGUCCCUAAAAACAAUCCGUAAGAAUCAUUUACAAAAAAAAUCAUGUACUGGACAUGUAUUUCCACAACCAAGUGGAAUACACAAAGAACUACAGCAAGAAUGUUUUUAUUAAUAACCUAACUGUGGAUCCUUCCUCUCUCUUGAACAAAUUGUUAUCUUUGCCUGUCAUUGUCUUGACUUUCUUGGAAUUAGUUACAGAGAAACUAUGAUUAACUAGUGGAUAAUGAUUCACCAUUUCAGUACUAUGUAAAAAUACUUUAAUUAGUACACAUGCAGUUUUAUGUAUGAGAAGAAGUAUCCACAAUUUUGAUAAUAAAUGCUGUUUUUGAGGUGGGAAAAUGUGUAAUAAUAUUAGUGUAAUAUGAUUGUUGUCUUUUGUCUUGCAGGAAUUAUCGGUUAUAUUGCAGGCAUCACAGAACAUGAGAGUUGAUGGGACAAGGCAUUAAAAUACAGAAUAUAACCAAAAGCGAAGUCAUAAUAAUUAAUACCACAGUAACUUAAUUAUCUGAUGGCAAUCAUAGAUGGAUUUUUUGGGGGGAUGCAGGUGGUGUGCACCCCCAAAAAUAUUUUCACCACCUCAGAAAGUUUUCCCACCCCACCUAGAGAUAUUUGCACCCGCCCCAGAAAUUUAAAUGCUGGUUUGAUUAAAUGACAGCAGUAUAAUUGAACUAAAUAAGAACUAAAUAAGACUUAAAACAAGGCCAAAAAUCUCGAAAUAUCCUGGGGGUCGGUGCCCCCAACCUUACCCCAACUCUGUCCCCACUAGUGACUGUACCCUCAGCAUGGGCAUACAGGAAGGAAAAAAUUAGGUGGACGGAAAGAAAUUUGCCUGACUUUUUCGGAUUGUGCCCGAGUUGUCAAAAAAAAAUUUGCAGAGAAACUUUCCGAAAUUGUUGUCAACAGGGGGGGGGAGGAUGCUACGAAAAAUUCCUAUUAGAUAGCAUAUUUCCCACAAAAUUGACAGAAUAAUAAGCCAAUACUGCCCAACUGGCUUUGUUUGCCCAACAAACUGGGGCGGGGCACACCCAUGGUAGACCUCGGUAGACCCUGCUGCAUCUUACUCAGCACACCAUGUGCUCACUUUCCACCCCUGAAUUUUUCUGCACACCCCCACCCCAAGCAAAAUUUGAAAAUGUCUAUAGAUUAUGGUGAUGAUAACAUAAAAGUAUAAA